CCUACGGGUGGCAGCAGUGAGGAAUAUUGGUCAAUGGACGCAAGUCUGAACCAGCCAUGCCGCGUGCAGGAAGACGGCUCUAUGAGUUGUAAACUGCUUUUGUACGAGGGUAAACGCAGAUACGCGUAUCUGUCUGAAAGUAUCGUACGAAUAAGGCUCGGCUAACUCCGUGCCAGCAGCAGCGGUAAUACGGAGGAUUCAAGCGUUAUCCGGAUUUAUUGGGGUUAAAGGGUGGGUAGGCGGUCGGAUAAGUUAGAGGUGAAAGCCCGAGGCUCAACUUCGGAAUUGCCUCUGAUACUGUUCGGCUAGAGAGUAGUUGCGGUAGGCGGAAUGUAUGGUGUAGCGGUGAAAUGCUUAGAGAUCAUACAGAACACCGAUUGCGAAGGCAGCUUACCAAGCUACUUCUGACGUUGAGGCACGAAAGCGUGGGGAGCAAACAGGAUUAGAUACCCCAGUAGU
rnacentral:rRNA from 1 species